rnacentral:rRNA from 1 species
CUACUCUUGACAUCCAGAGAAGCCAGCGGAGACGCAGGUGUGCCUUCGGGAACUCUGAGACAGGUGCUGCAUGGCUGUCGUCAGCUCGUGUUGUGAAAUGUUGGGUUAAGUCCCGUAACGAGCGCAACCCUUGUCCUUAUUUGCCAGCACGUAAUGGUGGGAACUCUAAGGAGACUGCCGGUGACAAACCGGAGGAAGGUGGGGACGACGUCAAGUCAUCAUGGCCCUUAUGGGCUGGGCUACACACGUGCUACAAUGGACGGUACAGAGGGCUGCUAACCCGCGAGGGGGAGCCAAUCCCAGAAAGCCGUUCUUAGUCCGGAUCGCAGUCUGCAACUCGACUGCGUGAAGUCGGAAUCGCUAGUAAUCGUAGAUCAGAAUGCUACGGUGAAUACGUUCCCGGGUCUUGUA